rnacentral:snRNA from 1 species
GUGCUCAUUUUGGCAAUACAUAUACUAAAAUUGGAAUAAUACAGAGAAGAUUAGCAGGGAGCCU